rnacentral:rRNA from 1 species
UACAGAGGGUGCGAGCGUUGUUCGGAAUUACUGGGCGUAAAGGGCGCGUAGGCGGCCUGUUAAGUCGAACGUGAAAUCCCCGGGCUCAACCCGGGAACUGCGUCCGAUACUGGCAGGCUUGAAUCCGGGAGAGGGAUGCGGAAUUCCAGGUGUAGCGGUGAAAUGCGUAGAUAUCUGGAGGAACACCGGUGGCGAAGGCGGCAUCCUGGACCGGCAUUGACGCUGAGGCGCGAAAGCCAGGGGAGCAAACGGG